GUUCAAUCAUGUCAUUGGUUCUUUCAUCAUCAUUGUAUAAAUUUAAUCUUCUUCUUCUUAGUGCAGGUGCCAUUGGAGCUGAAUGGUUGAAGGCAUUUAAGGGACACAUCGAGAACCCUGAAUCAAUGUUACUCUAAAAGAGAAUCGGCCACACAAUGGGAAAACACAUCAAAAGCUCCGAAGACUAAGUUAAGCGUUUCACCAGUGGUGUUGCACAUGGCAACAUGUUUUGUAAGGUCUGAUGUCCCUCGAAUAAGCCUAUAAGCUGCCAUUGUUACUGGUACCUAUUAUUAAGGAGAGAUCGGAUUCAAACAAAUUCGAGUCAAAAAUUUAAAUAUGGAAGGAUCCGAUUGACAGAUAUCCGGGUCAAAAAAUUUAAAAAAAUCCGACCCGAUUGGAUUCCUUAAAAUGUAUUUCAAAAAUGUUAAGUAUAUGGGCCCAAUAUUUUAACCCAAGCCCUAUGCCUUAAGAUCAAGAUAACAGACAUAAAAAUGCAAUCCUUUUUGUUGACGAGAAUAACUUUUCAAAUAUUUGUAAAUGAGUUUGAGAAUGGAGAAACAACCCACAAACUUUA